UACGUAGGGCGCGAGCGUUGUCCGGAAUUAUUGGGCGUAAAGGGCUCGUAGGCGGUUUGUCGCGUCGGGAGUGAAAACCAUGGGCUUAACUCAUGGCUUGCUUCCGAUACGGGCAGACUAGAGGUAUGCAGGGGAGAACGGAAUUCCUGGUGUAGCGGUGAAAUGCGCAGAUAUCAGGAGGAACACCGGUGGCGAAGGCGGUUCUCUGGGCAUUACCUGACGCUGAGGAGCGAAAGUGUGGGGAGCGAACAGG
rnacentral:rRNA from 1 species